rnacentral:tRNA from 1 species
GUGGUUGUAGCCAAGUGGUAAGGCAGUGGACUGUGACUCCGCCAUUCGCGGGUUCGAAUCCCGUCAAUCACC